UGCCCUUACAUUUGCAUUUUGCUGAAGUA
rnacentral:piRNA from 1 species